UACGGAGGGGGCUAGCGUUGUUCGGAAUUACUGGGCGUAAAGCGCACGUAGGCGGCUUUGUAAGUUAGAGGUGAAAGCCCGGAGCUCAACUCCGGAACUGCCUUUAAGACUGCAUCGCUUGAACGUCGGAGAGGUAAGUGGAAUUCCGAGUGUAGAGGUGAAAUUCGUAGAUAUUCGGAAGAACACCAGUGGCGAAGGCGACUUACUGGACGACUGUUGACGCUGAGGUGCGAAAGCCAGGGGAGCAAACGGG
rnacentral:rRNA from 1 species